ACUUCAACAGGAGCAAGACUCA
rnacentral:miRNA from 1 species